CUUAAAUAGAAAACGGGGUCUCCGGCUGUUCGUCUCUCGCUAACGCCAAAAGCGACGUGCGCUCAUUUUUAAUCUGAUUAUAGCUUUUGAGACUCGUUUCUAAUUGAAACGGACAUGGCACAGCUAUGGGUGUGCGUACACAUUUUUUAUUCGUGCAUGUUGCAGAAGAAGCGGAAUGUUCUUUGCGUAUUUUGCAGUCAGAUGUUUUUAAAAAGUGAGCUCUGUACUCUGCGAGCCAGAAGUCUUACGCAAAACGGACACGUAGGAAAAAACAACGAUACGUUUUGGAAUUUACUGAAAGCCAUUUUUGGUUUACUCUUAUCUGUCAGCCUGGCCUCAUGAAAGGGGCGUGCAACAGAUUUGUGGGGGCUCGUCCGGGACCAGCUCCUAAUACUCCUUGGAACCAAUGGAGUGUUAUGCUGAUGCUGUAAUCCUGAAAACAAGCGGAUGUCAGUGAGGAAAGUGGCAAGGCUUGGCUGGUGACUGCAAGAACGAUGUGAGGGCUUGCAGAAAAGCUAUUCAUCAUGGCUAAUCAUGUAUGCAAGACCCUGGUGUGGAACAUCAGGAAGAGUCUACUCAACCUGUCCACUGACAAAAGCACUGAUCCAGUACCAGGAAAGGACUCCUCCAAACUUGAUGCUGGAGAUCAAGAGGGCUGUCUUGAAUACAUCAAUGCUUUCAUGUACAGUAUUCACUUAUUAGAGGCAGAGGACAGAGGUAUGAACUGAACUGUUGGUUUUGCAAGAAACUCUAAAUACUGUUGAAGAAAACCAUUGUGCCGUAUCACCUGGUUAUAGAUGUAAUGAUGUUGAGAGCAAUGUUGAUAUUGAUGUAUACACUACACCAAUCUUGCAUACAUACACUUCUACAAAGCACCACCUGUAAU
ensembl:lncRNA